rnacentral:lncRNA from 1 species
UUAAUCUCUUUAAAUGGCGAGAUUAACUUUGCUCAAUUAAUUUUUUUUUUUUUUGUCUCUUUCAUAUAUAUCAAUCAAAUAUAUAAUCCAUUUGCUCACGUAUUUUUUUUGUUAAUCUUUAGCGGCAAUCUUUGGUUGUACUAAAUCUAUGCUUUUAGUUAUCUUUAAUGAAUUUUUUAUUCAGUAAAAAAAUAUAAUAAAUGUUGAAUAUAAAUUAUAAGGUCAUUGGAGCAACGCCGACGUUACCUUCAACUACCAAUCAAUCGACCCUUCUCGUUGACGGAAACGCACAGGUGAGGCAUGGCGAAGGUCCCUAAAACUUCAUUAAUGUCUUCUCUCCGAUUGUUUCUGAGCUAGUAGGAGAGCUAAUCAAACUCAUCAGGUACUAUGAUCUCUUCUUGAAGUUUGAUUACAUUGAUCUUCAUGUUUUAAAGUGUCAAGCUUGAUCAGAGCUUUAACGUCUUCGCAUUUGAUCACUUUAAAUUGCUGUUGCUGCUAGAUUGCAAGUGGGAUUUGCUUUUUGGAGCCAAGGAUAAUGGUGUUGGUGCUAGCUCUAGGGGAUUUAUACAUACCCCAUAGAGCAGCCGAUCUGCCUGCGAAGUUUAAGUUGAUGCUUGUUCCUGGCAAGAUCCAACAC